rnacentral:rRNA from 1 species
UCGAGAUCUAAAGCUCCGGCGCCUAAGGAUGGGUCUGCGGCCUAUCAGGUAGUAGUGGGUGUAGCGUACCUACUAGCCUACGACGGGUACGGGUUGUGAGAGCAAGAGCCCGGAGAUGGAUUCUGAGACACGAAUCCAGGCCCUACGGGGUGCAGCAGGCGCGAAAACUUUACAAUGCUGGAAACAGCGAUAAGGGGACCUCGAGUGCCAGGUUACAAAUCUGGCUGUCGUGAUGCCUAAAAAGCAUUGCAUAGCAAGGGCCGGGCAAGACCGGUGCCAGCCGCCGCGGUAACACCGGCGGCUCGAGUGGUAACCGUUAUUAUUGGGUCUAAAGGGUCUGUAGCCGGCCGGAUAAGUCUCUUGGGAAAUCCAGCAGCUCAACUGUUGGGCUUUCAGGAGAUGCUGUCUGGCUCGAGGCCGGGAGAGGUGAGAGGUACUUCAGGGGUAGGGGUGAAAUCUUGUAAUCCUUGAAGGACCACCAGUGGCGAAGGCGUCUCACCAGAACGGACCUGACGGCAAGGGACGAAAGCUAGGGGCACGAACCGGAUUAGAUACCCGGGUAGUCCUAGCCGUAAACGAUACUCGCUAGGUGUCGGCCACGGUGCGACCGUUGUCGGUGCCGUAGGGAAGCCGUGAAGCGAGCCACCUGGGAAGUACGGCCGCAAGGCUGAAACUUAAAGGAAUUGGCGGGGGA